rnacentral:rRNA from 1 species
GAUGAACGCUGGCGGCAGGCUUAACACAUGCAAGUCGAGCGGAGAGAGGUAGCUUGCUACUGAUCUUAGCGGCGGACGGGUGAGUAAUGCUUAGGAAUCUGCCUAUUAGUGGGGGACAACAUUUCGAAAGGAAUGCUAAUACCGCAUACGUCCUACGGGAGAAAGCAGGGGAUCUUCGGACCUUGCGCUAAUAGAUGAGCCUAAGUCGGAUUAGCUAGUUGGUGGGGUAAAGGCCUACCAAGGCGACGAUCUGUAGCGGGUCUGAGAGGAUGAUCCGCCACACUGGGACUGAGACACGGCCCAGACUCCUACGGGAGGCAGCAGUGGGGAAUAUUGGACAAUGGGCGCAAGCCUGAUCCAGCCAUGCCGCGUGUGUGAAGAAGGCCUUAUGGUUGUAAAGCACUUUAAGCGAGGAGGAGGCUACUUUAGUUAAUACCUAGAGAUAGUGGACGUUACUCGCAGAAUAAGCACCGGCUAACUCUGUGCCAGCCGCCGCCGUAAAAC